AGAGAGAGAGAGUAUGGAGCUCUGGUGCGAUCUUGCUCUCCGUUCCUCUGCAUCUUCUUCUCUCUCUUCUCAUUUCCAAUGGUCACCGGUGAGAAUGGAGGAUCAUCGCUGCUCUGAAACUUCCAGGUUCACCUUCGUACUUCCCAUCUCUGUUUUUCUUCCUCAGUUGUUGCUCUGUCUUCAUCAUUAGCGUUCGAAUUGCUGCUGGGUGUGAGAAAUCACAAGUUGCUGAAGCUGGUCUGGUGCUAUUGGUUUGGUUUCCUUUCUUGUGAGUAGCAUUCAGUUUCCCUCUCCCCUAGUCAGCGGUCUAUUUCAUCUCCUUUCUCUUUGCUUUCUGUCGUGGUGAUCUAAGAUUGAGUAUUGCUCGAGUUAUAUCAUGCGUAAAGAAUGUGUGGAGUUAACGUUGAAGCAAAAUAACCCUUUUGUGUGACAAAGGGUUGAGGUAACAGAAUAAUUUACACUAAUUGAUUAUAUUGCUUAACUGUUUGUGAGUAGAUAUGUAGAUUUGAACUUGAGAUUUGGUAACUUUGCAUAUUGCUAAAUGUGGUUUUGUGUAUGGAAAUUUAUUUUUGCAAAUGAUGAAUAUGAUAAAAGUUAUAUAUGAAUGAGUUGAGAAAUUUGAAAUGUAUAUAUGAUAUAUAUGUUGAGUGUAGGCAUGAUCAUGUUAAGGGGUGGGAGUUCACUCAUAAGAAGGAGUAGUAGAAGUCUAUAUGGCAUGUAUUUCUUUCGUGUCUAGUGAGACAUGGUAUUGGAGAUUUUCUCUUUAGUAUCCAUGCAGGAUACGACAUUGGAGAGUAACACUUCUUAACAUCAAUGAUGCGGUAUUAGAGUAACGAGACCCCGAUUCGUGUGCGAUAAGGAGAAACUGUAGUCUGGAAGUGGGAUAUGACACUUUUGGCCAAGUGAUUCUACCACUAAAGGCGAGGGUUUCGAUAGGGGCAAGGAGAAGGAAGGGGCAAUUGAAGAGUGAAGAGUAUUGUAAUACAGCUAUUUCCCUUUCUAUUUUAGGUUUGUAAUGAAUAUUGCCAUUAUAUAUUGCCAACUUAAAAUAUGACAUUAGUUUGGAUAUCACUUGUAUGAAUUUGUGAUAAGUAUGUGUAUCUUG